rnacentral:rRNA from 1 species
ACAACGGAGAGUUUGAUCCUGGCUCAGAACGAACACUGGCGGCGUGGAUUAGGCAUGCAAGUCGAACGAGAACGGACCCUUCGGGGUCUUAGUACAGUGGCGAACGGGUGAGUAACGGGUGGAAAACCUGCCCUUCAAUGGGGGAUAACAGUUCUAACGAGCUGCUAAUACCGCAUACGACCUUCUGAUCGCAUGAUCGGAAGGUGAAAGGUGGCCUCUCUUUGAAGCUGCCGUUGAAGGAUGGUUCCGCCUCCCAUUAGCUUGUUGGUGGGGUAAUGGCCUACCAAGGCGACGAUGGGUAGCCGGCCUGAGAGGGUGUCCGGCCACACUGGGACUGAGAUACGGCCCAGACUCCUACGGGAGGCAGCAGUCGAGAAGCUUCCGCAAUGGGCGAAAGCCUGACGGAGCGACGCCGCGUGAGUGAAGAAGGCCCUAUGGGUUGUAAAACUCUGUCAGAUUGGGAAGAAAGCAUGGCGGUUAAUACCCGCCGUGUGUGACGGUACCAUCAGAGGAAGCACCGGCUAACUCCGUGCCAGCAGCCGCGGUAAUACGGAGGGUGCGAGCGUUAAUCGGAAUUACUGGGCGUAAAGCGCGCGUAGGCGGUUUGUUAAGUCGGAUGUGAAAGCCCCGGGCUCAACCUGGGAAUUGCAUACGAUACUGGCCGACUAGAGUACGAGAGAGGGAGGUAGAAUUCCACGUGUAGCGGUGAAAUGCGUAGAUAUGUGGAGGAAUACCGGUGGCGAAGGCGGCCUCCUGGCUCGAUACUGACGCUGAGGUGCGAAAGCGUGGGUAGCAAACAGGAUUAGAUACCCUGGUAGUCCACGCCGUAAACGAUGUCUACUAGCCGUUGGGAGAC